CCCUUAGAUGUUCUGGGCUGCACGCGCGCUACACUGAUGUGUUCAUCGGGUUCGACCUUGCCCGGGAGGGUUGGGUAAUCCUUUCAAAACACAUCGUGAUGGGGAUAGAUUAUUGCAAUUAUUAAUCUUCAACGAGGAAUUCCUAGUAAGCGCGAGUCAUCAGCUCGUGCUGAUUACGUCCCUGCCCUUUGUACACACCGCCCGUCGCUCCUACCGAUUGAGCGAUCCGGUGAAUAAUUCGGACUGCAGCAGUGUCCAGUUCCUGGACGUUGCAGCGGAAAGUUUAGUGAACCUUAUCACUUAGAGGAAGGAGAAGUCGUAACA
rnacentral:rRNA from 1 species